UGAUAUCUUCCUGUAAGUCCUUGAUCUUGAUCAUACACAUUUGCGUGUAUGAUUAGUGUAUAAUUGAAUCAAGGGUGUCACACUUACCCGUGAAGGCAACCCAUGAUUCCACUUCCCUCGCCUUUCCCACGAAGGGCUUGUUCGGUUAAUCCCUCCCAUAAGAGGAUUGGAGAGGAUUUGAGAGGAUUGAGGUGGAUUUUGACUUGUGGGGAAUUUAAUCCCUCUCAAUCCCCUCCAAACCCCUUCAAAUCUGAAGGAACCGAACAAGGCCGAAGGCUCCUCAAACAGCAGGCAUCAACCACCAUGGGUAGGCGAAGGAGAUGAAGCAGCAGGCUCGAUCUGCUCGUGUGUCCACCUCCCGCCGCCCAUGGACCUACAGAUCAUUGCCAUCCCGAGUGAUGAACUUGGAGGAGGACGGGGAUGAGCUCACCGUCUUCCUCGCGAGAGGCACUGGCGAGGCUACGCGCUUUGAUUGGGCGAUGGACGGCCCCGUCCCGCUCUCGCUUCGCCAUGGAUCCGCCCUUCUCGUGCGCCGUGCCUUAUGCUAGUAGGUGGGUGGGGGAGGACGAGACGAGCUCAACCCGGACGAGGUCGCUGCGAUUGUCGACGCCUCCUCUGUCGCCGGAGGCCAUGGGCCCUCCUCAUCAACCGCACAAUCCACCUUUGAUGUUGUUUUCAUCGGGUGUGAGGAUCAAGUGAAGGUGAGCAGCAUAUUCAAAUUUGCAUAUCAUGGCCAACCUGCUUGUUUAGCACAAUCCCGUAGGCUGCACAAGAAGUUGCCUUGGCUAUCUGUGGUUGGUUUCGUAGUGUAUUUGGGGUUAUGCCUGUGUUUGGAGUCAAAGAUUCCAACACAUGUAGGCAUCUGUGUGAGUUUGUAUGGGUCACUAUUUUGGGUUGAAGAAGAUUGAUAGGGUAUAGUUCAUCUGUAAAAAGUGACUAUGAAUUUGUUUUUGUUUAAAGGUUUGCGAUAUUGUAGAUGGAUUAUUCAUUGAAUUGUUUAGACUGUUUACUGGAAAUUGCAAGAACGAACUUGAGACAAUUAAUAAAGCAGUGUCCAUUUGAGCAACUGAAGGUAAAAUAUUCUUGCUUGGUUAUUCCAGUUAUGUUGCAAUAUUUGAGUUUCGUGGCUCAAGAUGUCGAUUCACAUUGUCUUACUUCCUGCGUACUGGUUUCUUUAUACCCCUUGACGGGGAGAUCCAGGAAGGAGGGAAGGAGGCGAGUCUCUCCCACGGCGUCGCCGUCAAGGAGCACUAAGGGACCUCCCUGUCUUGGUUUGUAGCAUGUACAUUCACCACGCCGCCGCCAGCUAUAUGCAUCACCAUGAGGAGGACAAAAUAAGCUCAAGGACUAUGUGGGAGCUGACCUAAAGAAUUUUACAGUGUCACAAUAAUGGUUUCGCUAAAGCUAGCAGGCGUUUCUGACCUGUAAGUUCAUUUUGUUUUCUAUAGUUCUUUGUAUUCCGGUGUCAUUAAACGUAUGUAGCAGCUAAAGUUAUGUGUAGGUAAGGUGGAACGUGAAACUUUCUUGUCUCCUCAUCCCAGUACUUCCAUGUUUAUUUCUCAUAGAUGCUGCCUAUUAUAUAAUACCAGGUCGUAGAGUGUUUGUAUGCUAAAUCCUACCAAAGUUAUUGGUACAACUAAUGCAUUCGCUCUACUGACUAAAUACAUUGACAAAGCUACUCUUUUCUCUAGGCAUUGCAUUUUGUAAAUUAAAAGAAAACGAGUAGCAUCUAGAUAUAUGUAUUAAUUGGUUUGUCAACGAUUACCGAAAAAGGCUUCCGUCCCGUUUUA